rnacentral:rRNA from 1 species
UACGUAGGUGGCAAGCGUUGUCCGGAAUUAUUGGGCGUAAAGCGCGCGCAGGCGGCCUCUUAAGUCUGAUGUGAAGGCCCCCGGCUCAACCGGGGAGGGCCAUUGGAAACUGGGAGGCUUGAGUAUAGGAGAGAAGAGUGGAAUUCCACGUGUAGCGGUGAAAUGCGUAGAGAUGUGGAGGAACACCAGUGGCGAAGGCGACUCUUUGGCCUAUAACUGACGCUGAGGCGCGAAAGCGUGGGGAGCAAACAGG